AGUGAACGCUGGCGGCGUGCUUAACACAUGCAAGUCGAACGAGAACGGAUUAUAGCUUGCUAUAAUUGUCAGCUAAGUGGCGCACGGGUGAGUAAUGUAUAGGUAAUAUGCCUCUUACUAAGGGAUAACAAAUGGAAACGUUUGCUAAUACCUUAUACUCCUUAUUAACAGAAGUUAAUAAGGGAAAGAUUUAUUGGUAAGAGAUUAGCCUGUAUUGUAUCAGUUAGUUGGUGGGGUAAUGGCCUACCAAGACUAUGACACAUAACUGGUUUGAGAGGAUGAUCAGUCACACUGGAACUGAGACACGGUCCAGACUCCUACGGGAGGCAGCAGUGGGGAAUAUUGCACAAUGGACGAAAGUCUGAUGCAGCAACGCCGCGUGGAGGAUGACACAUUUCGGUGCGUAAACUCCUUUUAUAUGAGGAGAUAAUGACGGUAUUAUAUGAAUAAGCACCGGCUAACUCCGUGCCAGCAGCCGCCGUAAUAC
rnacentral:rRNA from 1 species